GAAAUGCGAUGAGUAAUGUGAAUUGCAGAAUUCCGUGAAUCAUCGAAUCUUUGAACGCACAUUGCGCCCCUUGGUAUUCCAUGGGGCAUGCCUGUUCGAGCGUCAUUUGUACCCUCAAGCUCUGCUUGGUGUUGGGUGUUUGUCCCGUCUCCGCGCGUGGACUCGCCCCAAAGUGAUUGGCAGCCGGCGUACUGGUCCCGGAGCGCAGCACAUGUCGCGCAAACGAGUGCCUUGGUACGGCGGCGUCCAUAAGCCCCUCUCUCACGCUCUUGACCUCGGAUCAGGUAGGGAUACCCGCUGAACUUAAGC
rnacentral:misc_RNA from 1 species